rnacentral:tRNA from 2 species
GCUCCCUUCGUCUAGUGGCCCAGGACAUCGCCCUCUCACGGCGGUAACGCGGGUUCGAGUCCCGCAGGGAGCGCCA